GCGCCUCGUGAAUUCAUCUCCGGGGGUAGAGCACUGUUUCGGCUAGGGGGCCAUCCCGGCUUACCAACCCGAUGCAAACUGCGAAUACCGGAGAAUGUUAUCACGGGAGACACACGGCGGGUGCUAACGUCCGUCGUGAAGAGGGAAACAACCCAGACCGCCAGCUAAGGUCCCAAAGUCAUGGUUAAGUGGGAAACGAUGUGGGAAGGCCCAGACAGCCAGGAUGUUGGCUUAGAAGCAGCCAUCAUUUAAAGAAAGCGUAAUAGCUCACUGGUCGAGUCGGCCUGCGCGGAAGAUGUAACGGGGCUAAACCAUGCACCGAAGCUGCGGCAGCGACGCUGAUGCGUUGUUGGGUAGGGGAGCGUUCUGUAAGCCUGCGAAGGUGGCCUGUGAGGGUUGCUGGAGGUAUCAGAAGUGCGAAUGCUGACAUAAGUAACGAUAAAGCGGGUGAAAAGCCCGCUCGCCGGAAGACCAAGGGUUCCUGUCCAACGUUAAUCGGGGCAGGGUGAGUCGACCCCUAAGGCGAGGCCGAAAGGCGUAGUCGAUGGGAAACGGGUUAAUAUUCCCGUACUUGGUGUUACUGCGAAGGGGGGACGGAGAAGGCUAUGUUGGCCGGGCGACGGUUGUCCCGGUUUAAGCGUGUAGGUGUGUGUUCCAGGUAAAUCCGGUUCACUUUAACACUGAGGCGUGAUGACGAGGCACUACGGUGCUGAAGCAACAAAUGCCCUGCUUCCAGGAAAAGCCUCUAAGCAUCAGGUAACAUCAAAUCGUACCCCAAACCGACACAGGUGGUCAGGUAGAGAAUACCAAGGCGCUUGAGAGAACUCGGGUGAAGGAACUAGGCAAAAUGGUGCCGUAACUUCGGGAGAAGGCACGCUGACACGUAGGUGAAGUGAUUUACUCAUGGAGCUGAAGUCAGUCGAAGAUACCAGCUGGCUGCAACUGUUUAUUAAAAACACAGCACUGUGCAAACACGAAAGUGGACGUAUACGGUGUGACGCCUGCCCGGUGCCGGAAGGUUAAUUGAUGGGGUCAGCGCAAGCGAAGCUCCUGAUCGAAGCCCCGGUAAACGGCGGCCGUAACUAUAACGGUCCUAAGGUAGCGAAAUUCCUUGUCGGGUAAGUUCCGACCUGCACGAAUGGCGUAAUGAUGGCCAGGCUGUCUCCACCCGAGACUCAGUGAAAUUGAACUCGCUGUGAAGAUGCAGUGUACCCGCGGCAAGACGGAAAGACCCCGUGAACCUUUACUAUAGCUUGACACUGAACAUUGAGCCUUGAUGUGUAGGAUAGGUGGGAGGCUUUGAAGUGUGGACGCCAGUCUGCAUGGAGCCGACCUUGAAAUACCACCCUUUAAUGUUUGAUGUUCUAACGUGGACCCGUGAUCCGGGUUGCGGACAGUGUCUGGUGGGUAGUUUGACUGGGGCGGUCUCCUCCUAAAGAGUAACGGAGGAGCACGAAGGUUGGCUAAUCCUGGUCGGACAUCAGGAGGUUAGUGCAAUGGCAUAAGCCAGCUUGACUGCGAGCGUGACGGCGCGAGCAGGUGCGAAAGCAGGUCAUAGUGAUCCGGUGGUUCUGAAUGGAAGGGCCAUCGCUCAACGGAUAAAAGGUACUCCGGGGAUAACAGGCUGAUACCGCCCAAGAGUUCAUAUCGACGGCGGUGUUUGGCACCUCGAUGUCGGCUCAUCACAUCCUGGGGCUGAAGUAGGUCCCAAGGGUAUGGCUGUUCGCCAUUUAAAGUGGUACGCGAGCUGGGUUUAGAACGUCGUGAGACAGUUCGGUCCCUAUCUGCCGUGGGCGCUGGAGAACUGAGGGGGGCUGCUCCUAGUACGAGAGGACCGGAGUGGACGCAUCACUGGUGUUCGGGUUGUCAUGCCAAUGGCACUGCCCGGUAGCUAAAUGCGGAAGAGAUAAGUGCUGAAAGCAUCUAAGCACGAAACUUGCCCCGAGAUGAGUUCUCCCUGAGACUUUAGGUCUCCUGAAGGAACGUUGAAGACGACGACGUUGAUAGGCCGGGUGUGUAAGCGCAGCGAUGCGUUGAGCUAACCGGUACUAAUGAACCGUGAGGCUUAACCUUACA
rnacentral:rRNA from 1 species